rnacentral:rRNA from 1 species
UACGUAGGGUGCAAGCGUUGUCCGGAAUUAUUGGGCGUAAAGAGCUCGUAGGCGGUCUGUCGCGUCUGCUGUGAAAACUCAGGGCUUAACCCUGAGCUUGCAGUGGGUACGGGCAGACUAGAGUGCGGUAGGGGAGACUGGAAUUCCUGGUGUAGCGGUGAAAUGCGCAGAUAUCGGGAGGAACACCAAUGGCGAAGGCAGCUUGCUGGGACGGUACUGACGCAUGGAGACGCGAAAGCGUGGGGAGCAAACAGG